GCCUGGGUGGCUCAGUCGGUUGAGUGUCCGACUUCAGCUCAGGUCACGAUUUCACGGUUCGUGGGUUCGAGCCCCACGUCGGGCU
rnacentral:tRNA from 1 species